rnacentral:rRNA from 1 species
ACGCUCGACACCUACGGAGAGGCAGCAGUCGGGAAUAUUGCGCGAAUGGAGGAAACUCUGACGCAGUGACGCCGCGUAUGGGAAGAAGGUUUUCGGAUUGUAAACCAUUUUAGACAAGGAAGAAACAAGGCAGUACUUGUAGAAUAAGCUCCGGCUAACUACGUGCCAGAAGCCGCGGUAAUCUGAGCGGGCUGGCAAGGC